GCGGAUGUGGCGAAAUUGGUAGACGCACCAGGUUUAGGUUCUGGCGGGAGACCGUGGGGGUUCGAGUCCCUCCAUCCGCACCA
rnacentral:tRNA from 1 species